AGAGUUUGAUCCUGGCUCAGGACGAACGCUGGCGGCGUGCCUAAUACAUGCAAGUAGAACGCUGAAGGAGGAGCUUGCUUCUCUGGAUGAGUUGCGAACGGGUGAGUAACGCGUAGGUAACCUGCCUGGUAGCGGGGGAUAACUAUUGGAAACGAUAGCUAAUACCGCAUAAGAGUGGAUGUUGCAUGACAUUUGCUUAAAAGGUGCACUUGCAUCACUACCAGAUGGACCUGCGUUGUAUUAGCUAGUUGGUGGGGUAAGGGCUCACCAAGGCGACGAUACAUAGCCGACCUGAGAGGGUGAUCGGCCACACUGGGACUGAGACACGGCCCAGACUCCUACGGGAGGCAGCAGUAGGGAAUCUUCGGCAAUGGACGGAAGUCUGACCGAGCAACGCCGCGUGAGUGAAGAAGGUUUUCGGAUCGUAAAGCUCUGUUGUAAGAGAAGAACGAGUGUGAGAGUGGAAAGUUCACACUGUGACGGUAUCUUACCAGAAAGGGACGGCUAACUACGUGCCAGCAGCCGCGGUAAUACGUAGGUCCCGAGCGUUGUCCGGAUUUAUUGGGCGUAAAGCGAGCGCAGGCGGUUAGAUAAGUCUGAAGUUAAAGGCUGUGGCUUAACCAUAGUAGGCUUUGGAAACUGUUUAACUUGAGUGCAAGAGGGGAGAGUGGAAUUCCAUGUGUAGCGGUGAAAUGCGUAGAUAUAUGGAGGAACACCGGUGGCGAAAGCGGCUCUCUGGCUUGUAACUGACGCUGAGGCUCGAAAGCGUGGGGAGCAAACAGGAUUAGAUACCCUGGUAGUCCACGCUGUAAACGAUGAGUGCUAGGUGUUAGACCCUUUCCGGGGUUUAGUGCCGUAGCUAACGCAUUAAGCACUCCGCCUGGGGAGUACGACCGCAAGGUUGAAACUCAAAGGAAUUGACGGGGGCCCGCACAAGCGGUGGAGCAUGUGGGUUAAUUCGAAGCAACGCGAAGAACCUUACCAGGUCUUGACAUCCCUCUGACCGCUCUAGAGAUAGAGUUUUCCUUCGGGACAGAGGUGACAGGUGGUGCAUGGUUGUCGUCAGCUCGUGUCGUGAGAUGUUGGGUUAAGUCCCGCAACGAGCGCAACCCCUAUUGUUAGUUGCCAUCAUUUAGUUGGGCACUCUAGCGAGACUGCCGGUAAUAAACCGGAGGAAGGUGGGGAUGACGUCAAAUCAUCAUGCCCCUUAUGACCUGGGCUACACACGUGCUACAAUGGCUGGUACAACGAGUCGCAAGCCGGUGACGGCAAGCUAAUCUCUUAAAGCCAGUCUCAGUUCGGAUUGUAGGCUGCAACUCGCCUAUAUGAAGUCGGAAUCGCUAGUAAUCGCGGAUCAGCACGCCGCGGUGAAUACGUUCCCGGGCCUUGUACACACCGCCCGUCACACCACGAGAGUUUGUAACACCCGAAGUCGGUGAGGUAACCGUAAGGAGCCAGCCGCCUAAGGUGGGAUAGAUGAUUGGGGUGAAGUCGUAACAGGGUAGCCGUAUCGGAAGGUGCGGCUGGAUCACCU
rnacentral:rRNA from 1 species